GAGUAACGCGUAUGCAACCUACCUAUCAGAGGGGAAUAACCCGGCGAAAGUCGGACUAAUACCGCAUAAAACAGGGGCACCGCAUGGUGAUAUUUGUUAAAGAAAUUCGCUGAUAGAUGGGCAUGCGUUCCAUUAGGUAGUUGGUGAGGUAACGGCUCACCAAGCCGACGAUGGAUAGGGAACUGAGAGGUUGGUCCCCCACACUGGUACUGAGACACGGACCAGACUCCUACGGGAGGCAGCAGUGAGGAAUAUUGGUCAAUGGGCGGGAGCCUGAACCAGCCAAGUCGCGUGAAGGAAGAAGGAUCUAUGGUUCGUAAACUUCUUUUGCAGGGGAAUAAAGUGCAGGACGUGUCCUGUUUUGUAUGUACCCUGAGAAUAAGGAUCGGCUAACUCCGUGCCAGCCGCAGC
rnacentral:rRNA from 1 species